CGCAGGGGCAAAGAGAGUGAGUGGCAAGUGCACUUCGGAUCUUUUAUUUGUUUUGUGUGGCCCCAGGGGGACACACCCUAAGCAGAAUGUGAUUGGCUGAAGUUCCCCAUCAAGCUAGGUGGGCUGGCCUGUGAGCUCACAGCUUUCGUUUAAGGAAAUUGGAUCUGCUCGGAAACAUUUAACAUGCAUAGACAGACGAAAUCUCGGUGUGAAGAGCAGGUGUGAACGAUACUUGUGAGGAGGGGUUCCCAACAUGUUUCCUGUCCCCCCUCCCCCACCUGCAUUAUGCAUCAGCAGAUGCUCCAGGACUCAAAGUUCAACGUUGGGUCAGGACAAUUUCCUCCAGAAGCCAAUGGACUCCAAGAUGCCAGCCUGCCAUGGUCUGUCUUUGGUUGGGAAAGCGUGACAAGCUGCCUCCAAAAUGAUUGAAGAGGAUUUGAAGAGGCUUCUCCAGGUCAGAACUGGUUGUCACUUGGCUUGUCUAAGGCCAGGACUGAUGUCAUGGUAAAUGUAGGAGGAUGCGGAGAUGCCCCACACAUUCAUGUAGGACCCUGAUAGGGCCUCCACGUUCUCCUCUGCCCCCAAGGUGCUCACAGCUGGAUGGGACGUAGGGGAAAAAGGUGACCCUGAUCUCUCAUUUCCCCUCCCUCCUCCGAGGCUAACCAUGCAGAUACCCACGUGCUAUGGUCGGGAACUUACGUCUUCAUUGGUUGUCUGGUUGGAGCUGAUCAAGUAUGUGUGGAAGCCCGAGAGGCCAACGAUGGACCAGACGGAGAAGAAGCACACCACGGCCUCCAGCACGGUGGGCGAGUCAAGGACACCAACAGAAGGAGAACGGGAUUCACGUGGCUCCCAGACAGGCAGGGUGGCAGGAGGCGAGGGGCUGAUACCCCACAGGUGGGUUCUGGGCUCAGUCCUAGUCUCCUGUCCUUUCCCAGUCUCUAACCAGAAGCCUCCCUCCUUCAGGCCAGUGGCCAUCCUCAGACCUUCUGCCACCUCCUCCCGCAGUGCAGAGGGGCAGCCACAGCUCUGGAAUGGCUGCUGCCCUCUCUGGGCAUCACUCACCUCUCAGAGUGGGCAAUUUCCCCUUUGACCUUCACCAUCUCUGACUUGCAACCUAGGAUGGAUGGAAGCUAACAGUGGAUCAGACCUUCAGUGAAAGGACUAAAUAUUAAAUGUCCCUCUGGUUUUAGCUUCUAAAUGCCGAGGACUGUCUCCCCAGUAAGCACCUCACCCGGCCCCCAACACACAGGAUGGCUUCUGAGAGUGAGAAGCUCCUGCUUCUGUGGGCUGUCUGGUCUCACGCCACUUAUGAAGCAGGUAAGAAGUACUAAUUACUAUGUACUGGAGGGUGAUUCUUAAGUGUGGAAUUGGGCCGGGGCCCUCCUUCUUAGAGACCCCUGCCCAGCUCCACAGCUAAUCCCUGGCAUAGGACACUGUGCUACGGGGCUUGGAGAGGACAGUGCGAGAAAGCCUGGCAUUCAACGUGAUGUGUCACCUCCAAGCAAGGAACAGUAUGGCCUUCCUCACCAGAUGGCAUUGAUCAACCAAGAAUGCAGUAAUUUGUAAGGAUGAGAGAAUGUUCCCAUCCCACAAAUGUUUAGAAGAGUCUAUUUACAAGAUACAGAUGUUUCUCAGGAAAAACCAAUUCAUCCUGGGGCAGAUCUGGGGUUUAAAUAUACAUCUUGCUUCCUCCUAGCAAUGAAUUACAGACUGGGGAAGUAAAGAAACCUUGUGCUUUCCUUAUGCAACCAAGGAUGGAGGGACAGAGAUCAGGCUGUGCUGUGUCACCACUGAUGUCUCCAGGUUGAAAAUAAUUCACCUCUGAGGACAGAGCUGAAUACAUCACCCGGUGCCUUUGUGUGGUGAUGGAUGCUGUUGCUUGGGACAUGAGUCUCACAUCAAAUGGGAAAAGGAGAACAGACAGUCACUAACAUAGGAAGUCACAACAUCCACUUUUAGAGAAGCAGGUGUUGGGGGGAGGGUCUAAAGGACAAGAGAAACAGAAGGAAGGAAGCCCUAGCCAGGGCCACAGAAAGCCCUCUGCUUCCUCCAGGAAACGGCUGUGGUGGAGCUUUGUGUGUGUGUGUGUAACAAUGGCUCAUGUAUCCCAGUGGCCAGGGCACCUAUAUGUCAUUUCUUUUCCUACCUAUCAGGGCUGGGAGAUGACUCAGAAAAACUUCAUGUCCCACACUGGCUACAAAGCAGAAGUGGAGUCCAGGAGGGCAAGAUGAAGGGACCAGAGGGGAGACUAAGUCAAGGGAAGGAGCCUGAGCCAGAGGCAGUGGCACUAGCUAGAACUCUGUGCAGCGAAGGGACAAGAUCAGAGGCUUUGAGAUGAAGUGACACAGUCGCUGGGGAAAGAUGUGGUCUGGGAGAGAAAAGAGAAUAAAGAUGGGAACCCAACAUCAAUCUCAGAGACACCCGAGCAUCACCAGCCGUUUACAGCCCAGACGGAACGAUGGGGGAAUCAACACAGAAGGAAGGCUCAAACAUGAACCACAAAAACUGCCAAGUGAAAGUAGGGCAGAGUUGAAGCAGGUGAAUGGGCUGUGGAUGCCUGGCAACCCCAUUUGCGGUGUGACCUGCAUUACUAACUGCUUCCAUUAGGAGGCAGUGUGAUCAAUGGGCGAGGAAUUGAAGGCGUUUUCAGAAAAGACAAAAAUGGUGGUACUGUGUGCUUA